rnacentral:rRNA from 1 species
GACAGAGGGUGCAAACGUUGUUCGGAAUUACUGGGCGUAAAGCGCGUGUAGGCGGCCAUGCAAGUCGGAUGUGAAAGCCCUCGGCUCAACCGGGGAAGUGCACUCGAAACUGCAAGGCUAGAGUCUCGGAGAGGAGCGUGGAAUUCUCGGUGUAGAGGUGAAAUUCGUAGAUAUCGAGAGGAACACCGGUGGCGAAGGCGGCGAUCUGGACGAUGACUGACGCUGAGACGCGAAAGCGUGGGGAGCAAACAGG